GGGAUGAUCUACAUCGGCAUGUAAGUGUAUCUGCUAAAUACUGGAUUAAUUCCAUUGAAGGUUCGAAUCCUUCUCAUCCCG